rnacentral:tRNA from 1 species
GCGGGUAUAGCUCAGUGGCAGAGCACAUGCUUAGCAUGCACGAGGACCUGGGUUCAAUCCUCAGUUCCUCCA